GUAGGGAAUAUUGGGCAAUGGAGGCAACUCUGACCCAGCCAUGCCGCGUGCAGGAUGACGGCCCUCUGGGUUGUAAACUGCUUUUAUACGGGAAGAAAAAAUACUACGUGUAGUAUACUGACGGUACCGUAAGAAUAAGGAUCGGCUAACUCCGUGCCAGCAGCUGCGGUAAUACGGAGGAUCCAAGCGUUGUCCGGAUUUAUUGGGUUUAAAGGGUGCGGAGGCGGAUCUUUAAGUCAGUGGUGAAAGCCUGCAGCUUAACUGUAGAAUUGCCAUUGAGACUGAAGAUCUUGAAUGUGGUUAAAGUAGGCGGAAUGUAUCAUGUAGCGGUGAAAUGCUUAGAUAUGAUACAGAACACCGAUAGCGAGGGCAGCUUGCUGAACCAUUAUUGACGCUGAGGCACGAAAGCGUGGGGAGCGAACAGGAUUAGAUACCCGUGUAGUCC
rnacentral:rRNA from 1 species